rnacentral:rRNA from 1 species
AGUGAACGCUGGCGGUAGGCCUAACACAUGCAAGUCGAACGGCAGCACAGUAAGAGCUUGCUCUUACGGGUGGCGAGUGGCGGACGGGUGAGGAAUACAUCGGAAUCUACUUUUUCGUGGGGGAUAACGUAGGGAAACUUACGCUAAUACCGCAUACGACCUACGGGUGAAAGCAGGGGAUCUUCGGACCUUGCGCGAUUGAAUGAGCCGAUGUCGGAUUAGCUAGUUGGCGGGGUAAAGGCCCACCAAGGCGACGAUCCGUAGCUGGUCUGAGAGGAUGAUCAGGCACACUGGAACUGAGACACGGUCCAGACUCCUACUGGAGGCAGCAGUGGGGAAUAUUGGACAAUGGGCGCAAGCCUGAUCCAGCCAUACCGAGUGGGUGAAGAAGGCCUUCGGGUUGUAAAGCCCUUUUGUUGGGAAAGAAAAGCAGCAGGUUAAUACCCCGCUGUUCUGACGGUACCCAAAGAAUAAGCACCGGCUAACUUCGUG